GACGAACGUUGGCGGCGUGCCUAAUACAUGCAAGUCAACUGAAGCAAGGUAGCAAUAUCUUGUGGAGGGUGGCGCACGGGUGAGUAACACGUAGGUAAUCUGCCUUCAGGUCUGACAUAACUCCGGGAAACCGAGCUAAUAGCAGAUGAUGCAGCGGCUUGACAUCAAGACAGUUGUUAAAAGCUUCGGCGCCUGAAGAUGAGCCUGCGUCUGAUUAGCUAGUUGGCGGAGUAAUAGCCCACCAAGGCGACGAUCAGUAACUGGUCUGAGAGGAUGAUCAGUCACACUGGAACUGAGACACGGUCCAGACUCCUACGGGAGCAGCAGUAAGGAAUAUUGCUCAAUGGGGAACCCUGAAGCAGCAACGCCGCGUGAGGGAUGAAGGGCUUUGCUUGUAAACCUCUGUAGUGAGGGAAAAAUUUCCAACUCCUAGUGGAAUA
rnacentral:rRNA from 1 species